GGACCUGUAGCCUAGUCUGGAUAAGGCGACAGCCUUCUAAGCUGUAGAUCGGGGGUUCAAAUCCCCUCAGGUCCG
rnacentral:tRNA from 1 species